GUUUCUUUUAUUGAUAACAUACUGUAAUGGAUUCCUAAGUUGCCAUGGCAAAACACCACAAAUACAAUGGCUUCAAACAACAGAAAUUUAUUCUCUCACACUUCUGGAGGCUGGACUAUGAAAUCAAGGUGUAGGAAGUACCGUACUUUUUCUGAAGGCUCUUAGGGAGGAUUCUUCCCUGCCCUUUCCUAGUGUCCAGUGGUUGCUGGCAAUCUGGAGCAUUCCUUGGCUUGUAGAUGCAACUCCAAUUUUUGUCUCUGUCAUCACAUGGUGUUCUCAUUUCUGUGUCUGUUCCUUCUCCUCUUCUUAUAAGUGUUGCUGAAACUCAACCUCUGCCCACUGGUAUGGAAUAGAAAUGUGCAGACAGAGUUUUGGGUGAAGGAGAAAAAAACAACUGUAUUGCUUUGCCAGGCAAAGGAAGCCACAGAGGCUAAUGCCUUAAAGACUGUGCCCUCCUUUGGGGAAGAAAUGCAGGGAGUAUUAUAGUCUAAAAUGAGAAAAACAGGGUUUUGGAUAAGAAUCAGAUUUGGAUGCAGACAUGCUUUCUUCAUUCUUCAGGGGAAUCUUUGUCAUCAGAGCUGGUGGCGAGAGAUCUCUGCAUGGUCCUGGUGGUAGUUUUCUGGGUUAUUGCCUAGAAUAACAGCACUUGUGAAAAGGGUGUAUUGAUCAGCGAUUAGAACGAACUAUGGAAGCUCCUGAAAAAGAUCAUGUGCUAAUAAUACUUAACCAACAAGCAAUUAUGCUCAGGGUGCCUAAUUUUUAGCUUAUAGGUAAUUAUGUUUAGGUUGCAAUCAAAUGAGGGAGAAGCACAAGGCAGGGCUCCAAGGUGUUCAGUAUUCAAGUAAUCAUUUCUGAAAGAAGCAUAAGUCAUAUGACUUUUCUCUUAGGUAUAUAAGAUGCCUACAUCAUGUGUAUCCCUUGAGGUGGAACCAGGAUCCUGGCUCAGGGCUGUACUAUUGUGGCUGGAUUAUUCCUCCCUUGUCUUUGCAUCCCCCCCCUUCCCUGAUCAGCAAGUGUCUGAACCUGCCCCUUGGAACUCAGGGAAGGCCAUGGAGGCUGAAUGAGGCUCAUUUCCUAAAAACAAGAAAUACAGGACACAGUUUCUAGGCUUUUGUCACAUACACAGACAUCAGGGUUUAGAACUGGAACAUAUCUUUUUGGGGGUCAUGAUCCAAUCUAUACCACCUACUAAUAACAUUUUAUUUAUUUAUUUAUUCAUUUCAAUCAAGCAAAGUUUUAUUAAAUAUACACCAAAUUUUGGCACUGUUUUUGUUUUGCAAAUUUUUUUAUUUUUAUUUUUUAACUCCAUGAAUUUUAUUAUUUAUAGUUGUACCACCAUCAUCACAACUUAAUUUUAUAACAUUCCCAUCCCAAACACCCAGCCCAUCCCUCUCCCACAAUCUGCUUCCUUUGGUAACCAUAAGUUUUUCCAAGUCUGUAAGUCAGUUUCUAUUCUGCAAAUAAGUUCAUUCUAUCCUCUUUUUAGAUUCCACAUAUAAGUGAUAGCAUAUGAUGUUUGUGUCUCACUGAGUAACUUCACUUAGCAUGAUUUCUAGGUCCAUCCAUGUUGCUUUGAAUGCCAUUAUUUCAUUCCUUUUUUAUGGCUGAGUAAUAUUCCAUUGUUUGAUGUACCACAUCUUUAUCCACUCUUCUGCUGAUGGACAUUUAGGUUGCUUCUGUGUCUUGGCUAUUGUCUAUAGUGUUGCAACAAACAUUGGGGUAUAUGUAUAUUAUUGAAUCAUAGUUUUCUCUGGAUAGAUGCCCAAGAGUGGGAUUGCUGGAUCAAAUGGUAAUUUUCUUUUCAAUUUUUUGAGGAAUCUCCAUACUGUUUUCCAUAGUGGUUGCACCAAUUUGCAUUCCCACCAACAGUGUAGGAAGGAUCUUUUUUUCCACACCCUCUCCAUCAUUUAUUGUUUGUAGAUAUUGCUGAUGGCCAUUCUGGCUGGUUUUAGGUGGUACUUCAUAGUGGUUUUGAUUUGCAUUUCUCUAAUAAUGAGUGAUGCUGAACAUCUUUUCAUGUUUUUUUUGGCCAUCUGUAUGUCUUCUUUGGAGAAGGGUCUGUUUAGAACUUUUGCCCAUUUUUUGUUGGGGUUGUUUAUUUGGUACUGAGUUUCAGGAGGUGUUCGCUGAUAAAAUUUUAAAAUGUGAUAUUCAGAAACUUCUGUAGUGAAAAAUCCUGAACUAUCUCCUAGAGUCUUGUAUUAAGUCAUAUAUUACUGAGAAGUGGUGAAUAGGCAGUGUGGCAAUGAAACUCCAGUACUUCAUUGAGGAAAGAACAGAUGAUUUUGUCUGGUUCUUCCAGAAACUCUAACUCAUAUGUGCUAUAUUUUGCUAAAAAGUUCAAAUCACCUUCUGUGUUUUAUUGAUUGAUUUAAAUACCAGAUUGUUUAAGGCAGUUAGUUACAAUGUAGGAAAGCCAUCAUUACAUUCAUCAAAACUAGUUCUUAAUUCUUUCAUCAUCUUAUUUUUCAAGUGAUUCCUGUCUCCAAUCUCCUCUUUCCCUAUUUCUGAAUCAUUAUUUACCAUUUCCCCAUUUCUGCCCAUUUACCACAUACAGAGAUAAAGCUCAGUGUCAACUGCAAACAUAAAACCUAAGUGUGGCUCCCCAUCUUCCAAGUUAAUGAUGAAAUGUGAAGCAAUACUAUCCCCUCAGCCCUAAAAUAAAGGCCAUCAUCAAUAGCCACGUGAGCAGCUAGGCCUGCACUAACUGAAAUCUUUCCACAACAUAAACAGUGUUUUCUAAACUUAUUGAUGGGCACUUAGUGAAGGAAAGAAUCAGAGGUGAUGAUAAAGUAUACUUCCCAAAUUUCAAUCGACCAGAACUGUCACCUUCAAAUGAGAGUAUAUUGGUCUGCUGGGUCCCCUAGUUAUUUAGAGUCAUUAGGUCCUAGCCAUUGGUUUCUGCCUCAUAUCCUAUUUAUCACAUUUUAAACUAAUUCUUAUUUAUGUCUCUUAUCAAGUGAGAGUUUAUUUUUCUGCCACAGAAGUAGUGCACUUGAAUAAGUACACAACUGUAUAGUGAAUGCUGUAAAUACUAUCAAAUGUUGUUUUGCCUGUAGUUUAAGAGUAUUCUUACUGGCAAAAUAUUACAAAGCAAAUGUUGAAGGUUUGCAUAUUUUCUUUUUUGGCCUUUUUUGUCUUUUUAGGGCUGUACCUCUGGCAAAUGGAGGUUCCCUGGCUAGGGGUUGAAUUAGAGCUGUAGCUGCAGGCCUAAACCACAGCCACAGCAGCACAGGAUCUGAGCUGCAUCUGCAACCUAUACCACAGCUCAGAGCAACACCAGAUCCUUAACCAGCUGAGCAAGGCCAGGGAUUGAAUCUACAUCUUCAUGGAUACUAGUCAGGUUCCUUAACCACUGAACCACGAUGGAGAACUCUGCAUAUUUCCAUUACUUACUGUGCUAUCCAUAAUUUAAAUUAUUGUCAUUUUUCAGAUAAGCAGAUUAACAGAGAAUGAUAUUAAAAAAAGAACUACUGUUUGUGCAUCAUGGCAAAUCAUACUCAUUUGGUACAAGAAACAUUAAAUUUGCAUUUCACUCCAGUCAUAGAUAUUAAAGAUUUCCAUAUUUUUUUAACACAAAACAAGAAAGUAACAGAAACUCAAUGUGUUAAGUGAAUUAUUUAAAAGCUAGAAUUUUUAAGGAGAUUGUUAGAGAAUAUAUUGAAAUCUAUCAUCUAAUAUCACCUGUGAAAUCUGCCAUCAUUCAGUGGUUACUUUAAUUCAUUUUAUUGUCAUUAUUUAUCCUAUUUACUUUUCAAAUAACAGUUUUGUUUUCUUUGUAGUUAUCUGCACAUGGGAUCUGCUACCUUCAUCAUUCAAUCAUCAUGGCACUUCUAUUUUUGAAACACAUAUAAGUAUAUCCCCUGUUUUUUCCCAUGUAAAAUGUCAGUUCUGGACAUUAGCUUUUGCUUAUGCAGGUAGAGCACUUAUGACAUUUGUCAUAGUAAAUACAUUUAUACCAGUAAGCUUCAAAUAUUCCUAAUUCACUAGUGCACAGGAAAUUUAGACUUUAGUGCAAAACAGAAAAAAAAAAAAGAAAGGCACCUUCAGCACAUAUUGCCAUAAAUUUGUUCAGGUGGAACAGGAGAUUGGGUGACAUAACAGUCAAGCAGCAGGCAUGGAGUGACAGUUUAUAGACAGACAAUGAAAUAGAACUUUGAAGAAAGGAAUAGAUGUAUUAUACUGUAUCCUGCAAUUAUACCUAUUAAGGCAGAAGAAAAUCAUCUUCACUUCCACUUUUCAUGAUUCUGGGCUGUCUCUCGGCAUUGUCCUCAUAAAACCUUAUGCAUUAUAUAUUUCAUCAUGACAAAACAUAAUUGAUGCCAAGUACAUUUUAAAAUUAUCGCUGUGUAAUACACACUUUUGAGAAACACUAUUUAUUAUUAUAAACGUUCAAAUACUUAUUUUGAAUUAUAUUGAAGAUCAUGACAGAACAUUUUAAACGUGUUCUCAGUGGCAAGUGAGUCAUUUUGAAGACUACUUUUCUAAUUUAUUCUACAACAGUUGAAGUUUUUUUAAAAAAAAUCUCUUCCAGAAAUUAUAAAAAAUAACAGCUUCUCCUUUGGAGUGUUGAAAGGUAAAAGCCACAGUAAGUCAAACAAGUGUAUACAGUUCAAAAGCAAUUUCUACCUUUAUAAAAAUUAUAGUGUAAAAAAGCUGGAGAUAAAUGCUUAGAUAUAAGCCACAUUCAGCCUCCCGAGCAUCCACGUCUCUAUAGUUCUCUUUUGUGCCCUGUUUAGAAAAAUUAUAGCCCUAUCUUUAAUUCAGAGAUUUGAUACUUUAUAAUUAAAUAUUGCCCAUUCAUUAAGAGGAAUACUGUUUGGGAUAAAGAAGAAAAUGUGUAUGUAUGUGUAUAUACAGGCCCUGUAAUCUGGGUUCGAAUUCUGUCUGCCACUUAUCAGCUGAGUGACUUGAAUUAAAAAAAAAAAAAAAAAAAAAAAAAAAAGAAAGAAAAGAUUGUCAGUGUUGGCUUUUGGGCUAUUUUUUCAUUACUGGCCCAUGUGACAUGGACAGUGCCUGGCACACGGUGGACAAAAUACUACCUGUUGAAGAGAAGAAUGAAUGAAUGAAAGCUCUUAGAAGAAAUUUAGCACAGUGUUUGAAAACUCCCUGGUAUUAUCCUCUCUGACUCUUCACAUCUCCUUCACUUUCCACUAUAGCAGACUGGGGUAAUAAAGCCAUUGAAAUUGAUCAGUAUUGGGAUACUUGCGUUUAAUUAUUACAUGUAGCAGAGUCCUUCUUCCCUUUUUAAAAGACUAACAGUAACCAUAGUUCUCUAAGACAUAGUGCAAAAUAAAAAUCACCCACGUAUUUUUAAAGGACUUUAAGGAAAUAAUUCACACGUAUCUUUCCAAAAUUAACAUACCUUCCAAAUUGAUAAGAUCUAGAGUCAAAUAAAAAACUAAAUAAUUCCGACACACAGAAGUAGAGUGAUCAAUUUACAAAUAGGUGCAAUAAUAGCUUUUAUUUUUAUACUCAUUUCCAGCCUUUCUUAUAUUUUACAGGAUAAGUUAUGAGCCUCAUGACAAAUACGCUUCCCAACCCUCCCUACGGUGUCCAGCCAAGCCUGCUAGAGUUAUGACACAGACUGGUGUUUAUAGGACAAGUCAGAGGAUGAUUCAUAGCCCCUAAAAAACAGUAUUUUUCUUUUUUUAAAAGGAAAGCUAUCCCAGACAGCUACCAUUUUAUUAAAAAUAUCAUCAUAUUUUUAUUCUCUCCUUGUUCAAAAUUAAGGAAAAAGAUAUCAGAAAAUUUUGAACCAUGCAAUCACCAUAUGAAGAUGUCCAACUCCCAAUUUUAUCUUCCAGAACUGACUUUAAUAAAAUAAAAAUUACCUCUUUAUCUCAUAGAUUUUUGAAUCACGCACAGAGCUCCACAGUGCUGUCACUCUCUCACACAAAACUAAUGAGACUGUCUUUGUGAAGAACUUAACUAACAUGGUCCCGCCAUUUCUCUCUGCUGCCCAGGAAUUUAUACUUUAUAAGAAAGCAGGGACCUCAGUGCUGACUUUGUUUUAGAGGGUCCCUCCCCAUUGGCUCCAGGGUGGUUAGACCCUUCCAGAAUUACCCCACAGCUCUGAGAUAGCCAUUUAAUGCCUUCCAUAUUUACCAGAAAAAUUAAAUAUUUUUAUUGUUUGCUCACCUUCUGGUUUAAAAAUAUCCCCCCCCCAUCACUGCCCCAGUGUAUGAGUAUUUGGCUCUCUUUUCUGGAUUAUAGAAAAACAAAACAAAACAUAACCCUGAGUUGGCAAACCUUUAGCCAGGUCUUUGAGUAGAUAAGUUUUAUCUCUAUUUUUUCAUGAGAACAUUGUGUUUCUCAUUUUUAUGAAGUCAGUAAUAGGUCUUACUGAUUAAGGACUAAACCAGAAGCCAGCUUUAGUAAACAAAAAAGGAAUUUACAUUUUGCAAAACAAUGUGAAAAUUUUUGUGUGUCUUAACUGUGGAUUUGAGGGGGAUGUUUUUGGAGAUGAUGUUGAUUUUGGGAAAUUGUGAUUCUUCAUCAAUAUAGUAUGAAAUAAACUCUUUGAAAUGGUGGUGAAUUGCAUGUGUAUGUGUGCACACAGAUAUAUUUACUAACUCUAGCCCUCUUCAUUCAGUGUUUGGUCUAAUAAUAAUUCAUAAGAAGACAGCUGCAGUUAAACAAGGUCUGUAUUUAUUUAAAACUGGUGGAAAGGUUUCAAAGACUGAUUGGGAUGGUCAAAGCAUGCAGCUGCUGGCUUCUCCAUAGUGAUUGUCUAGGAUAAAUAACUUAGGUAUUGAAAAUGGACUGCUGAGAGUCAAGGGGAAAACCCUUGGAAGUAAGACGUGGAGUGUAUUCUCCAGAUGAAGGGGUAGAAAGUUGGACACUGGGAUAGAGAAUAGAUAAGCGUAGGACUGAGGGUGUCAAUAAUAACAUUUCUGUGAAGGGCAGCUUUUAUUUUUUCCCCUCCCAUUUUCUUUGGACUCUAGGAACAAUCAUUUUUAGCAGGUUUAAGUUUUUUUCUUCCUAUACCAAUUUUCUCCUACUUUUAGUAAAGAGCAUUACCCACACAAAGUCUUAUGCUGGAGAGAAAUUGAGGGAAGGAUCAGUAAGAACUUGGGUAACCUUCUAAAUAUCCAUGUUCCAAUAAGGUCGAGGAGGUGAUUAAUUUUGGAGUUCUAGGUUAUGGGGAGAAGUAAAGCAGUCCUGUGGGUGGCAGGAAGGAGAACUGGAUAAGCAGAAAUCAAUGGGGUU
rnacentral:lncRNA from 1 species